AUACGUAGGGGGCGAGCGUUGUCCGGAAUGAUUGGGCGUAAAGGGCGCGUAGGCGGCCUGUUAAGUCUGGAGUGAAAGUCCUGUUUUCAAGAUGGGAAUUGCUUUGGAUACUGAUGGGCUUGAGUGCAGGAGAGGUUAUCGGAAUUCCCGGUGUAGCGGUGAAAUGCGUAGAGAUCGGGAGGAAUACCAGUGGCGAAGGCGGGUAUCUGGACCGCAACUGACGCUUAGGCGCGAAAGUGUUGGGAUCAAACAGGAUUAGAUGCACUGGUACUCCACACUGUAAACGGUGAGUGCUAGGUGUAAGAGGUAUCGACCCCUUUUGUGCCGGAGUUAACACAAUAAGCAGACCGCCUGGGGAGUACGGCCGCAAGGUUGGAACUCAAAUGAAUUGACAGGC
rnacentral:rRNA from 1 species